CAGUAGCCGCGGGAACACGUAGGGUGCAAGCGUUAAUCGGAAUUACUGGGCGCAAAGCGUGCGCAGGCGGUUCGUUAAGACAGAUGUGAAAUCCCCGGGCUUAACCUGGGAACUGCAUUUGUGACUGGCGGGCUAGAGUAUGGCAGAGGGGGGUAGAAUUCCACGUGUAGCAGUGAAAUGCGUAGAGAUGUGGAGGAAUACCGAUGGCGAAGGCAGCCCCCUGGGCCAAUACUGACGCUCAUGCACGAAAGCGUGGGGAGCAAACAGGAUUAGAUACCCCUGUAGUCCCUGUCUCUUAUAC
rnacentral:rRNA from 1 species